rnacentral:rRNA from 1 species
CCGAGUCUUAAUUGGGCGUUAAGUUGCAGGGUAUAGACCCGAAACCCGGUGAUCUAGCCAUGGGCAGGUUGAAGGUUGGGUAACACUAACUGGAGGACCGAACCGACUAAUGUUGAAAAAUUAGCGGAUGACCUGUGGCUGGGGGUGAAAGGCCAAUCAAACCGGGAGAUAGCUGGUUCUCCCCGAAAGCUAUUUAGGUAGCGCCUCGUGAAUUCAUCUCCGGGGGUAGAGCACUGUUUCGGCUAGGGGGCCAUCCCGGCUUACCAACCCGAUGCAAACUGCGAAUACCGGAGAAUGUUAUCACGGGAGACACACGGCGGGUGCUAACGUCCGUCGUGAAGAGGGAAACAACCCAGACCGCCAGCUAAGGUCCCAAAGUCAUGGUUAAGUGGGAAACGAUGUGGGAAGGCCCAGACAGCCAGGAUGUUGGC